rnacentral:rRNA from 1 species
AGCGAACGCUGGCGGCAGGCCUAACACAUGCAAGUCGAACGCCCCGCAAGGGGAGUGGCAGACGGGUGAGUAACACGUGGGAACGUACCCUUUGGUUCGGAAUAACUUGGGGAAACUCAAGCUAAUACCGGAUAAGCCCUUAUGGGGAAAGGUUUACUGCCGAAGGAUCGGCCCGCGUCUGAUUAGCUAGUUGGUGAGGUAAUGGCUCACCAAGGCGACGAUCAGUAGCUGGUCUGAGAGGACGAUCAGCCACACUGGGACUGGGACACGGCCCAGACUCCUACGGGAGGCAGCAGUGGGGAAUAUUGGACAAUGGGGGCAACCCUGAUCCAGCCAUGCCGCGUGAGUGAUGAAGGCCUUAGGGUUGUAAAGCUCUUUUACCAGGGACGAUAAUGACUGUACCGGGAGAAUAAGCCCCGGCUAACUUCGUGCCAGCAGCCGCAGUAA